UGAGUUUGAUCCUGGCUCAGGAUAAACGCUGGCGGCGUGCCUUACGCAUGCAAGUCGAACGAAGCCCGGCCUUCGGGUCGGUGACUGAGUGGCAAACGGCUGAGUAACGCGUAGGUGAUCUGUCCCGAGGAGGGGAACAACUCGUGGAAACGCGAGCUAAUGCCCCAUACGCCCACCGGUUCAGCCCGGUGGGGAAAUGUUCCGGCGCCUUGGGAGGAGCCUGCGUCCGAUUAGCUAGUUGGUGGGGUAACGGCCUACCAAGGCAGCGAUCGGUAGCUGGUCUGAGAGGAUGAUCAGCCAGACUGGGACUGAGACACGGCCCAGACUCCUACGGGAGGCAGCAGCGAGGAAUCUUGCACAAUGGGCGAAAGCCUGAUGCAGCAACGCCGCGUGGGUGAUGAAGGCCUUAGGGU
rnacentral:rRNA from 1 species